ACUCUCAGGCCUGCACAGCAUAUGAUGUCGUCAUCAACCAGGAGUUCUUCCAGAAGUGCCAGAAGGAUCCUCUGUUCCAGCAGUUUGUUAUUCUGGUGUCUUUAGAGGGUUUGGAGAACAAGUACAGUCUGGAGCUGAGCAGAGACUGGAAAGUGCUGAAGAACAGAAAGUUUUUGGGUUCUGUUAGUGAGCAGAACAUUCGGACAAAGAGCAGACCUGUGAUUCAAGAGCUGCAG